CUUGCUACCGAUUGGAAGGUAUUCUGAUCCACGUUUGGUAGGGUCCACAAGAUCCGGUUUCUCCUCGGUUGGUCUGCACACACCCUUGGGCAAGCCAAAACCUUAUCCCAGGGGUCCCACUAAUUCCAACCUUUAGUGCCGGGGUCGGGCGAAACGGAGACCUGCCGCGAGGGGUCGGGCGGGGCAGAGACUGUCCGCGAGGGGUUGGGCGCGUCCGACCUUGCGACUCGAGGUCGGUCAACUUUGGACAGGCCCUCAGGAAACAGGUGUGUGUUCACAGCACCAAAACCCACACAACUUGACAUCCAUGGCGUGUCGCAAAGGGUCAGAAGUCAAGCCAAGAGUGAAAGACAAACAGGAACUGCCUUCGCCAAGAUCAGAUCAUUGCGGGUCUUAAAAUA
rnacentral:lncRNA from 1 species